UACAGAGGGUGCGAGCGUUGUCCGGAAUCACUGGGCGUAAAGGGCGCGUAGGUGGCGCCCCAAGUCAGUGGUGAAAGCUCGAUGCUCAACAUCGAGUCGGCCACUGAGACUGGGGGGCUCGAGCACUGUAGAGGCAGAUGGAAUUCCGGGUGUAGCGGUGGAAUGCGUAGAGAUCCGGAAGAACACCGGUGGCGAAGGCGGUCUGCUGGGCAGUAGCUGACACUGAGGCGCGACAGCGUGGGGAGCAAACAGG
rnacentral:rRNA from 1 species